ensembl:snoRNA
GAGAAUCUAAAUCAAGGUCACCAGUGUGCUAAAGCUGCUGAUUUCAAAUGAAGCCUAAAAGGAUGUCUUUGUUUCGUCUUCUGGCCUUUUCAGAAAAUUGAGAAUGUAAUGAUCAAUGAAUUAGAAAGAAAUAGUA